AUGCUGAGUUUGAAUAACCAUCAGUUUUCUCAGCAGUUGAUACUGCUGCUGUGCAUUGGUUUUAUCAAUCUAGGAUAAGCAUCAGUGUUGGUUUUCAACCUAUAUACUUUCUUUGUACAAUUGGGCCACAUUACAUGUAAUAAGGUGUGCAUUAUUGUCCUUUUCUAGAUGCAAGCGCUUAUGAAUGAAGAAUGAGAAUACAGCCUAAAUAGAAUACCAAGAGUGGAUUCCUGAAUUUUGCAUACCACACUUGUUCGUUCUUUAGUAAUGA
rnacentral:misc_RNA from 1 species